rnacentral:rRNA from 1 species
AUUGAACGCUGGCGGCAUGCCUUACACAUGCAAGUCGAACGGUAACAGGUCUUCGGAUGCUGACGAGUGGCGAACGGGUGAGUAAUACAUCGGAACGUGCCCGAGAGUGGGGGAUAACGAGGCGAAAGCUUUGCUAAUACCGCAUACGAUCUCAGGAUGAAAGCAGGGGACCGCAAGGCCUUGCGCUCACGGAGCGGCCGAUGGCAGAUUAGGUAGUUGGUGGGAUAAAAGCUUACCGAGCCGACGAUCUGUAGCUGGUCUGAGAGGACGACCAGCCACACUGGGACUGAGACACGGCCCAGACUCCUACGGGAGGCAGCAGUGGGGAAUUUUGGACAAUGGGCGCAAGCCUGAUCCAGCCAUGCCGCGUGCAGGAUGAAGGCCUUCGGGUUGUAAACUGCUUUUGUACGGAACGAAAAGACUUCUUCUAAUAAAGGGGGUCCAUGACGGUACCGUAAGAAUAAGCACCGGCUAACUACGUGCCAGCAGCCGCGGUAACAC